UUGACAGCCCCAAAGACUGAAGUGCUCUAUUAAACCAUACUACAGGUACAUCACCAGCACUGCCUGAGCACAUUUUUCCCACGCUGUCUCAGUAAUAAGCAUCAACUGCACUUGUUUGGAGACUGUGGGCUGUUCCUUUUAGCAUCCUGUCCAUCCAACUUCCCA
rnacentral:sRNA from 14 species